CAACUUUUAAGCAAGGUAUGUCUAAUGGAUCUAGUAGCAUUGCCGUAUUACGUGCUAUCUUGCUUGAGAAUGCACCAAACCUUUGGCUGUGGAAGAUAAAAUAAUGUUUUGUAAGUAUCCAGGUAGGCUAGUGGGUUUCAACCAUCUAAAUACAAACUAUUUCGGAUUUCAAUAUAAAAGCUUAAUCCCAAUACAAAGUGCUUAGAAAUACUAUUUUUAAUAACUUCAAGAUAUUAUAAGCACAAAAUCUUUUGUUAUUUGUUAGUUUUAUUUUUAUUUUAUUUUAUUUUAUUUUAUUUUUUCUAACCCUAACUCUAGACAACGAGCUUCGACAAGCUGUAAUUCUCAAUCUGACUAUCCGAUUGUUGUAAACUUCUACCACUAAUGUCUUUGUAAGCCUUCUAAAUGCUUAAGAAGUUUCAAUCCAUUCCAACUUACAGAUUGCAAGAAAAUACCGUAAAUCCACACUGAUGUAUCUUGACCGCCGCCUAGAAGUCCUCGACUUAUCACACCAAAAGUCAUCUUAUUCCAGCUGGUAGAUCUCCAGAUAUUACAGAAAUCUUAAACAAUCCCAAUCUGCUAACUUCCGAUAUCUCUUUACACUAACUUUUGUAUGCACUCGGUAUACUCAACCCUCUAGACACCUCUAAAUUUCAACCGCAAAAGUUUCUCCAAUUUCACAAAAUACUCAAGAGUACCAUCUUUAACUUUAUUGCAAAAAAAAAUCCCAAUUCACCAAUAUAAACACUGACUUUCAGCAACAAUUGCCAAAGUCCUCCCAAACCCUAUGAAACCCAAUUCUACCUUUUUCGAAGGAGCUUGAAGCUAGCUCUCUGAUCCCAAAAUUCCUAUCUCUGAAUGCCCUCUUUUUUUUCCUCUCCUUUCCUUUAACUCCAUGAGGUCUCCUAUUCUUCCGCCCUGGACUCCGAAUUGGAAUAACAGACCAGCCUUCACGGAAUUCCCACCUCUAAGAAGAUCUUUCCAUGGAAAGGACGUUUCUCCAAAACGACAUAGAGAACGGAAUAGCUUAAAAUGGAACCAAAGCCUCCAUAUUUGGAACCUCAUUGGAUUGCCCAACCAAAUUAGGUCUCAUACUGGGUAAGAGGCCCAUAAUAGGACCUGGAUUGGAUGUCUCCAUAAUUGGGUCAAAUUGGCCCUUCACAUCAAACUCACUCGAAUAUUGAAUUGGUCCUUUCUCCUUUUGCCGACUCCUAAUAAGAAUGGCUCGGACUCAUUCCACCUGAUUUAUAGGAGAAUCUUGAGGACCUCAAUUUAUUCUUUCAAUUUUUCUCUAGCUUUUGAUUUCCUGAUCCCGAUUAUUGAAAUUGAACAGAGCAUUACAUUGCUGAUAAGUAUGCCUUGACUGCUUACUAUUCUUACACACUGGUGCGUAAUUGUCAUUGGCUCUAGGAUUGGAACAUUCACUAGCAUAAUCACUAUUCUGUCUGCAACGGAAACAACAAAGUGCUCUUCUUACACCCUCAUCAGGCAUAUUGGGUGUUUCCAUCGAUAUAUACCUACUAGGCUUGUUCCAUGUAGGGUUAGAAAAUAAUCCUGGUUGUCCCGUUGGUAUGGAGGGUACUUGGUUCGAUGACGCCGAUGGAACAUACGUUGUUGUCACGUUCGGUGGUACAGCUGCAAUGGGGUGACAUUAACUGGCCUCUAAAUAUUGGCACUUGAAUUGGCCAGUGUUUCUAACAUCCAAGAUGACUAAAUAUUAACAAAUCUUUUUCAUUUAUAUUUUCACCAUAUAGUCAUGUUGCAACACGACAGCAUGGCAUUUAAUCGAGGUACCUUUUUCCAAAUAGAACUAAUGUUUGGGACCAAACCAGUAAGUUGACCAAUUUAUUGUCUAAUACCAAAUAAACUUGAAGAAUUGCAAAAGUUUUUAGAUGAAUUCUUAGAGAAGGACCUCAUUCGAGAAAGCAUGUCUCGAUGGAGAGUAUUUAUACUCUUUACAUCCAAAAAAAGAUAGUAGACUUUGACUUUGCAUCAAUUAUUGGGGCUUCAAUAAGUAGACUGUCAAAAAUGUACAUCCACUUCCAUAUAUGGAUGAUCUUCUUGACCAACUUUGAGAUGCAAUUAUCUUUAGUAAACUAGACCUUUGGAGUGGUUAUUAGCAAACUCCUAUUGCCAAAGAAGAUAUAGAAAAGAUGACAUUUUGUACACGCUAUGGACAUUUUGAAUGGCUUAUAUUAACUUUCAGCCCCACCAAUACUCCAACUUCUUUAUGAAUUGUAUGAACAGAUUAUUUUGGGACCUUUUAGAUAAGUAUGUAAUUGUUUUCAUUAAUUAUAUCUUGAUCUAUAGUAAAAUUCUUCAAGAGUAUGAGCAACAUCUACGAAAAGUGUUGCAUCGACUAUAUGACAAUUGCUUCUAUUGCAAGCAAUCAAAGUAUGAAUUUUGGAAGUUGCACAUCACCUUUUCGAAGCAUAUAGUGUCCUCUAAAGGCAUGCACAUGGAACAAGACAAGGUGAAAUCAAUGGAGGAUUGGUCAAAUUUCAAAGAUGUUUAUAAAGUUCGUUCAUGUUAGAUAUUAUUGUCAUUUUGUUUGGUGAUUUGUAUACAAUUUUACCUCACUAAUAAGGUUAAUGGAGAAGGAUACCUCAUUUGAAUGGAAACUAGAACAAAAAAAUGCCUUCAAGGACUUGAAAGAGGUACUACUUACUACUCCAAUAUUGCAAUCAUAUAAUUCCAACAUUAUUACUUUCAUCUUUGACCAGAUUAAAUUCAUUAUAAUUACUUUCAACUUGUAUUUAUCAACUUGCACAAAGAUGAAAGUAAUUAUAAUGAUUUUAGAUAUAUUUGAUGUAAGUAAUUUUUUUUAGUGUUAUAAGUUGUUAUCUCCAGAAUGCAAAAGUAUUUUUGCGUGGGCUUUGACAUCUUUCAGACUUCAAGCAUGUUGUUUUAAAUUAGAUGUAUUGGCUGCAACCUCAAAGCCAUUAACUACUAUCCAUAAUUCUACUCCACUUAAGAGAGCAUCCAAAUUAAUACUCCAAGUGCAAUAAUUAAUUCCAUAAAAUGAGGGAAUUAAUAGAGUGCAAGAAGAAUUAUGAAAAGCGAUAGUGGAUGGAGUUUUGUACUUACACUAAAAGAAAUGAAGGAUUAUUAGUGCUUUGAUACUAUGUAAGAGAAAGAACACUAACAAUGAUAAAAUAAAACAUAAAAUGUAUUAAUACAAUAACUUGAUUACAUCAUAUUCAUAAGACCCUUUUAUAUUGUCUUAUGGAGUGAAGUAGUAACUUUCGUAGUAGUAGUAAUAAUAAUAAUAAUAAUAAUAGCACUUGCAAGUAUAUUCUUUCUUUUCUUUCUUUCUAGGUAUUUCACGAUUCUCACUUGUUAUGUAUUUAAUUAAUAAUAGAGAAUAAAUAAACAAAAGGUAGGGAAGAAAAGAAGAAGUGGCCGGAUGAUGGGAAUGGAAUGAGAAUCUGAUUAACAUUAUCUCUGCUUGCUCUGCCAAUUGGGUGUUUCGUUUGCUUCGGUUCUCAUUCGUUCUGAUCCUUGCAAUCAUUGCACAUGGCACCAACAUUGAAAGGUUCGGACUAAGGAUCCUAGGUUUCUUCCGGGUUUUUGUUUUCUGCAACACCGUUCCUGGCUGUUCUACCUUUUUUGUUGUCUGUGGCGAUCCUGCUUCGGAGUGUGCUGCGAUCAAGGCUGGUGGCUGCGGAAGCUCCUGUUGUCAACGUGAUCUGGUUUCCGUACUUCUUCCGUUGGUCUAUGGUUAGAGGGCGAGUGAUACGGGUGUUCAUGCUAAGGUGGUAGUUUUCGACGGCGCCUUGUUGCUCUAUUGUUGUUAUUGCGCCGCCGCCUACCACUGGAGUGUCGACGGGUUCCCUUUUGGGGUAUGUUUUUUUUUCUCCCUUUUUCCAGCUUCUGCUUCGAAUCGUGUUGCUGUUUGAUGUAGUCGUGCAUCGAGCUGGUGCUCGGCCUAUGUUCUUCUUCAUAGUGUGUGAAGGGGCGUUGGAUGGUGCUGGUUGCACUGUGGUGGAAGCAUCAAGUGUUUGACUGUGUCUCAUGAUUCUGUUCCGUUUGGUGCUCUCUGGUGGCGCUUCUUUUUUCGGGUUGGUGGUCCAGUGGCAUUGAGGAUUGUCGACGCUUUCUUGUUGCUCGCCUCGUCGUUUUCGCCUGGUGAUUCUUCGGUUCUGUUCUUCACCAUCUUGUUGUAGGCCAAGGCCGUUUGAUGCCACUGUUGCGGUUGUGGCUGCAAAUUCGACUGCUUCACCGACUGUACUCCUUGAAGUCAUGGCUGCUGCUGCAAGUUCUUGAAGAGAGUAGUGGACGUUUAGGUCGUGGUUGGUAGCUGUCGGGGAAAUUGCGGAAUUUGUUAUCCGCCGACCCGCGUUUUUGUCGCCGUGGAUGCUGGAGGAUUAAGUCAUGCGGUGCAGAGCCGUCAAUUUUGGCUGGUGGUCGACUUAAUCCGGCUCUUGUUGCUGUGCUCGUUCGUCUCCGACUGUUUUUGGGCUCCGGUGUUGUUCGACUCUCGCUGAGUUUCCAAUCAUCGUCGUCGCCUAUAGUCGGCACUCUCGGUGGACUGGCGGGGUUGGCAGGUAUUGUUGAAUGGGAGAAAUGAUGUUCUGCAACUAGUAGGCGGACGCGAGUUCGCUGGUGAUGUGGGUCUUAAUAGCAGAUAUCGAUGCUUAAAUUUGGAGAUGUGACUGUGUCAGCGAAAAGUUGAGCAAGUAAGGUUCCCUACCGACAAUUGCAGAGAGGCAACGUUGUUCAGAAUUCAGUGUUGCAAGGGUGUUCGAAAUGUAGUACCGAUUUGUUAGUGCUGAUGAGGUAAGGUGGUUGUUCAUUAAAACACAAAAUUGUGGUGUAUGGAAGGUCCUCGUGAGGCAGGCAUUGAAGUUGACAGCGUAGUGAAAAAUUUAUGUAAGCAGCUUGGUUGUCGAUAGAACCGUCGGCUUCGCAGAAGAAUUUCAUGUGAGCAGGUAGCAUCUGGAGUUCGGAUGGCUUCCUGUGAUACUCAUGGUUUCGUAACAAAUAUGAUACUAUUAUCAUCCAGCAGCCCUCUUUUCCAUAUCCCGAGUUUCUGUUGCAAGUCAUCUUCGCCUACCCAGUUUCAUUUCUGUGAAGGGUUGUAAAGAUUGGUGGCAGCUUUGCCAACCCACUUUCAUUCCUGUGAAGGGUUCUGAAGAUCGAAGGACUUUGAGCCGCCAGUGGGUCGGCGAGCAAUUCCAUUUCUUCCUGCACAACUGCUAUCGCUGCUACUCCAGGCUCGUUUUCGACAUCUUCCACAUUGCGGUGAGACUUCCAGAUUGGAUGAAUUGUUGGAUUGGAUGACUAAUUGAGUUGGAUAUAGUUAGGUUAGGAAUUUGAUCAACCCAUGUGGAUGAACAACUUGAAUGAAUACUCAGGUGUGGGUGAAUUCUUAUUGUUAGAUGACAUCUCAUUUAUGGAUGAAGUUUUGUAUAAAGAUGAAUGCUUGUCAAUGGAUGAGAAUAUCUAAAUUGAGUGAUGAUGGAGGUACGAUUUUUUAUUUUGGUUGCUUGUGUUAGGUUGGGCUAAAUUGAGGGAGUAAAAAAGUUAGGCAAUAAUUGCAAUUCAUUAGAUAUUAAAAUUUGGUGAAUUAUUGCAUGGUUGAAAAAGCAACCAUUAGUGUGGUAAUAUUUAUUUUGUAAGAAUCUAAUCUAGUUUUUCAUAAGUCAAAUACUAAUAUUUGAUGUGUGCAUUUUUCCAUAAGUCAAAUACUAACAUUUGAUACGUGCAUCUUCAAUAGGGAACAAGACUAUUUCUUAGUAAUAAAUUUGAGCAUCCUAAAGUAUUACUUACCAAUUCUUCUUUGAAUUAUGGCUAGAUUGGAUCCUACAAUUCAUACUUCAAAAUCAAUGUUGCCAAAUGUUAGUGGUGUGGGUAAUGUUCUUUCCACUACAAAAUCAAUGUCUUGAGUUCAAAAUGGUUUGAAUACCUUGGUUGCAUUAUUGUGCUUUUUAUAAUACAGGUAGUGUAUUUUUCUACACGCAUGUUUUUGGUUUUUUCUAGUUAUAAGUAAUGUUGUGCUAGUCUUUACAAUGUCUUUUUGAUUGUAUUGACCACCAUAUGAUUUAAUAUUGGUCCAUGGUUAUGGAAUACGUGUAGAUCAUACUCUUGGUAGAGUUGUAUCAAGUAAAUAUUCAGAGUUGCAGUUGUACUUAAAAAUUGCAAUGAAAUCCGUGGAAAAAGUCCAAGAGUUAACUUCUCAAAGAGAGGCAACAAAUUUGCCAAAAUUCAACAAAGAGAAAUGUGAAUAUUUAGCUUGUAUACUCAAGCUUGCCAUUAAGAGUGCUAGUUCAUUCUUUUACGCCAUAUGCCAUCGAAAAAACAUUCCUAAGGAAGCUUUGGCAAGUUGUGUGGGUAAUUUCAAGCUAUUUGCUACAAAGGCAAAAGAAAUUGAAAGUUUUAUCCAAGAUUGAUGCAAAAAUGCAUGGGUUGAGGUUGCCAUCAUAUUGACAAAAGUAAAAGAGCAUGUUUCAUCAAUAUGCUUUAAUUUGGAAUUAUGUAGACUUACAUUUUUUGACCAUGAGUUUAGAGCACCACUAAGCAAAACCUGGACAGAACUUGUUGACAAAAUUGAAGAGAUCAAUUGCAUUGAAGCCAAGAUUGUGCAAGAAAAAGCAUUUCAAGAUGAAGAGGCAUUCUAAAAAAAGUCGAUUUGGAAUUGAAAUCAUUGAAUGGUAAGGAGAAAGAGUUAGCUUACAUUUUGCUUGAAAGACUUAAAAGCACAUCGAUUGCAUCUUCUCGAAACCCAUUGAAGGGAGAAUUGAACAAAGUGAAGCAACACAACCAAAUAGGAAAAGGUGCAUCUGCAACUGGGUACUCGAGCUUGAUAACAUUGCCAAAUGAAUUGGGCAACCUCACAUCUUUGACUUCCUUAAAUUUAAGUGGGUGCUUGAGCUUGAUAACAUUGCCAAAUGAAUUAGGCAAUUUCACAUCUUUGACUUCCUUAAAUUUAAGUGGGUGUUGGAAGUUGAUAUCAUUGCCAAAUGAAUUGGGCAAUCUCACAUCUUUGAGUUCCUUAAAUUUAGUUGAGUGUUGGAAGUUGACAUCAUUGCCAAAUGAAUUGGGCAACCUCACAUCUUUGACUUCCUUAAAUUUAAGUGGGUGUUGGAAGUUGACAUCAUUGCCAAAUAAAUUAGACAACAUCACAUCUUUGACUUCCUUAAGUUUAAGUGGGUGCUCAAACUUAACAUCAUUGUCAAAUGAAUUGAGUAACCUCACAUCUUUGACUUCUUUAAAUUUAAAUGAGGUUUAGAAGUUGACAUCAUUGCCAAAUGAAUUGGGCAAUCUCACAUCUUUGACUUCCUUAAAUUUAAAUGGAUGCUCGAACUUUACAUCAGUGCCAAAUAAAUUGGGCAACCUCACAUCUUUGACUUUCUUAAGUUUAAGUAAGUGCUCAAACUUGACAUUAUUACCAAAUGAAUUGGGCACCCUUAUAUCUUUGACUUCCUUAAGUUUAAGUGGAUUCUUGAACUUGACAUCAUUGCCAAAUGAAUUAGGCAACCUCACAUCUUUGACUUCCUUAAGUAUAAGUGAGUAUUGGGAGUUGACAUCAUUGCCAAAUGAAUUCGGCAACCUUACAUCUUUGACUUCUUUAAAUUUAAGUUGGUGCUCAAGGUUGACAUCAUUGUCAAAUAACUUGGGCAACCUCACAUCUUUGGCUUCUUUAAGUUUAAGUAGGUGCUCGAACUUGACAUCAUUGCCAAAUGAAUUGGGCAACCUCACAUCUUUGACUUCCUUAAAUUUAAGUGGGUGCUUGAGCUUGAUAACAUUGCCAAAUGAAUUGGGUAAUUUCACAUCUUUGACUUCCUUAAAUUUAAGUGGGUGUUGGAAGUUGAUAUCAUUGCCAAAUGAAUUGGGCAACCUCACAUCUUUGACUUCUUUAAAUUUAAGUGGGUGCUUGAGCUUGACAUCAUUGCCAAAUGAAUUGGGCAACCUCACAUCUUUGACUUCCUUAAAUUUAAGUGGGUGCUUGAGCUUGAUAACAUUGCCAAAUGAAUUGGGCAAUUUUACAUCUUUGACUUCCUUAAAUUUAAGUGGGUGUUGGAAGUUGAUAUCAUUGCCAAAUGAAUUGGACAACCUCACAUCUUUGAGUUCUUUAAAUUUAGUUGAGUGUUGGAAGUUGACAUCAUUGCCAAAUGAAUUGGGCAACCUCACAUCUUUGACUUCCUUAAAUUUAAGUGGGUGUUGGAAGUUGACAUCAUUGCCAAAUGAAUUGGACAACCUCACAUCUUUUACUUCCUUAAAUUUAAGUGGGUGUUGAAAGUUGACAUCAUUGCUAAAUAAAUUGGACAACCUCACAUCUUUGACUUCUUUAAGUUUAAGUAAGUGCUCAAACUUGACAUCAUUGCCAAAUGAAUUGGGCAACCUCACAUCUUUGACUUCCUCAAGUAUAAGUGAGUGUUGACAGUUGACAUCAUUGCCAAAUGAAUUGGGCAACCUCACAUCUUUGACUUCCUUAAGUAUAAGUGAGUGUUGGGAGUUGACAUCAUUGCCAAAUGAAUUCGGCAACCUUACAUCUUUGACUUCCUUAAAUUUAAGUUGGUGCUCAAGGUUGACAUCAUUGUCAAAUAAAUUGGGCAACUUCAUAUCUUUGGCUUCUUUAAGUUUAAGUGGGUGCUCGAACUUGACAUCAUUGCCAAAUGAAUUGGACAACCUCACAUCUUUGACUUCCUUAAAUUUAAGUGGGUGUUAGAAGUUGACAUCAUUGCCAAAUGAAUUGGGCAACCUCACAUCUUUGACUUCCUUAAAUUUAAGUGGGUGUUAGAAGUUGACAUCAUUACCAAAUGAAUUGCACAACCUCACAUCUUUGACUUCCUUAAAUUUAAGUGGGUGUUGAAAGUUGAUAUCAUUGCCAAAUAAAUUGGACAACCUCACAUCUUUGACUUCCUUAAGUUUAAGUGGGUGUUCAAACUUAACAUCAUUGCCAAAUGAAAAGGAUCAACCUUUCAUCUUUGACUUUCUUAAAUUUGAGUGAUUGCCCAAGGUUGACAUCAUUUCCAAAUGAAUUGGGCAAUCUCACAUCUUUGACUUCCAUAAGUAUAAGUGAGUAUUGGAAAUUGACAUCAUUGCCAAAUGAAUUGGAUAACCUCACAUCUUUUACUUCCGUAAAUUUAAGUGGGUGCUCAAACUUGACAUCAUUGCCAAAUGAAUUGGGCAACCUCACAUCUUUGACUUCCUUAAGUUUAAGUGGGUGCUCAAACUUCACAUCAUUGCCAAAUGAAUUGGGCAACCUUACAUCUUUGACUUCCUUAAGUUUAAGUGGGUGCUCAAACUUGACAUCAUUGCCAAAUGAAUUGGACAACCUCACAUCUUUGACUUCUUAAAAUUUAAGUAGGUGAUGCAAGUUGACAUCAUUGCCAAAUGAAUUGGGCAACCUCACAUCUUUGACUUCCUUAAGUUUAAGUGGGUGCUCGAACUUGACAUCAUUACCAAAUGAAUUGGACAACUUCACAUCUUUGACUUCCUUAAGUUUAAGUUGGUGCUUGAUCUUGACAUCAUUGCCAAAUGAAUUGCGCAAAAGAAAAUUCUACUACCUAUGGCAUGUUGGAAGGAUGAACCUUUGUUGAUACGGUAGUUGAUGAGGUUACGCAGCAUGGUGUUUGCUGCAUCUGGACCCAGCUUACUUGCCAACCAUGCAAGGACCAUGUUUUUACAAUCAACUACUACAUGUUGUUUACUUGACGUUUACAUAAUUUCAAGAGGAUUCAAUAGGAGUACACUAAUUCAACGAUAAUAUCAUUGUAAAAUACUUGAAAAGACAAAAGGUGGUAUGUAUGCAAAUAUUGAGGAGUUCAAUUCACGAGAUUUUAAGGGUUGAUACAAAUACGUGGACAAUACAAAAAAAAAAAAAAAAAAAAAAAAAAAAAAAUGCAUGAAUGUAGCUUUAUAUUAUAUGUUGAUCCUCAAAAACCUUCAUUAUGGAUAUAUAACUUGAGAACCACUUAGAUUUUAAGCAAAACACGUUCUUAGUGUAAUUGGUUGGAGGAAGAAGGAAAUUAUGACUGAGGUAGUUUAAGGACUCAAAACUAAAGAAACUCUAGAUGAAGCUACCAUGAAUCCAACCCACAUACGUUCAAUUUCAACAAUAGGUCUUUCAAAAUUAACAUUUAAACUUGUAAAAAUGUAAUGCAGGUGUUGACAUGCUGGAAUAAGGAACAAUCGCACAAGGAAGCAGAGGUCAGAACCUCGUGGUACAGCACUGCCAUUCAAUUGAUCUGUAUCAUCCAUAAGUUGCCCAGCCAUUUGAAUGGCUAUGUCCAUGACCCGUGAUUGAAAAAUAGGUUCUUCAGUGCACUCCUUUAAAGGGUCCACCGAAUGGCAUGCAUCCAAUAACUUAGUAGUAUUUAUCAUCUCUUCCAGUUGGCUAACUUUGGUAAUUGGACAUAAACCACUGGUAAGAUUGGUAGAUUGAGUAGUACAAAGAUUUCCCAAAGAUGUGUUGGCUCCCAAACUAGCCAUAAGAUUUUGGGUGUGUGAAAAGUAAUAUUCAGCUUCUGUAACAUUGAGCCCAAGAUUGCCCGAGUUUAGGCUGUAUUGACCCAGAGAGACUUGAAAAAGGCUCUCAAGUUGUGGGCAACAGAUGACACUUCCAACAUAGAGCACUAGUGGAGUUGAACAAUUUCUAGCAGUUCAAAUAAGAGUCCCUUCUAAUGUUGAAAAAUUAAAAGGACAAAAAUCUAUGGAAUAAAUCCAAAAAAUACUCGGAUUGAGAUUCUAAUGUUCAACACAUUUUGGGCAAGAACUAUUCGAUUCCAACAGUGAGCAUCACUUGUGUUCAUGACCCAAGGUAACAGCUAAAGUAGUUGAUAAUCUAGAUAAUUAUUUGAUUUGAUAGUUCAAGCGUAGAUGGAUUGAUUAUGAUUGGAAUCUCUCGUGGAGAGAGAGCCAUGAAUGGAAAAUUUCCUAAUAGAGCUUCUACAAGCUCCGAAGCUAGAGGUGACGAAGUUGGAAAAGGUGUUAGAGUGUUCAAGUUUUAGGGUCUAGGUUUUAGGAUUUUGUUUUUGUAAUCUAAAUCAUUUUAAAUUUAGAAUAAAUAAUAUUAACAAGGACACAAGUAAAAUUAAAGAAGCAUAAUUUGUAACUUUCCUACCAAAUAAAAAAUUCUUCAAAGGAUUAUAGUCCAUCAUUUUUUUUAAAUUAAUUUUUAAAAUUAUAAAUCUUAAUUUUAAUGGUGGAUAGUUUUCUUUAUUUAAAGUACUAAAAAUAUUUCUUUAAAUUAUCUUUUUACUUCUUAAUCUUGCCUUCAUUUAUACUAGCUACAAUAAAUAUUUUGUAUAAGCUUUUUAAAGACCACAAGGCUUAUAGUUCAAGCAUCAAGUUGAAGAUUAUUUCUAAGUCAACUUUCUAAAAUUCAAAAACUCAAUAGAGAAGUUUCAAUAGCUACAUGGCAUAACUAUAGGAAUCUAAAUUUCAAAUCUCUAUCCAAAAAUAUUCUUUAAAGUUUCUCAAAGAAGAUAUUAUCUAUUCCACAUAUUUUACCUACUUCUGCCAACUUCUAUUUACUUAAGUAAUAUAGGUAGCCAUUUUAAUCUCUAACUUAAGAAUACUCAAUAAGACUUGAUAAUUAAUACAACAGUACUUUGAUAUUAACUGUUAAAAUAUUAAGAUAAGAGCAAAUAAAUUUUUUUUUAAAUACAUUUAUAAUCUCUAAAGAUUUUUAGUUAAUAAUAUUUUUUAUUUAGUAUUUAUAAAAAUAAUUAUGAAAUAAAUAUUAUAGAAUUUAUUAUAUGUAGUAUUUUAUUCAUAAGAUUUUGGUACUAUUGAUUCUAAAAUAUAAUAAAUAUAAUUUCAUUAAUCUUUACAUAAAUUAUUAUAAGUUAUGUAAAAAUCUAUGUAUUUUAUAACUCCAAUAUAGUAUAUUUGAUUAUAAACUCUAAUCAAAGAUAUGUAUCAAGCUAAGAGCUAAUGAAAUAUAUAUAUAUAUAUAUAUAUAUAUAUAUAGCAUGGCAGCCAUUCAACAUUUUCACUACCAUGGAAAUCAAAACAUUAUGUUUAGAUAUGUUACAAUUGUUUUAGUUUAUUUUAAACAAAUAUUUUAUAUGUAGAGCAUCAAGAUCAUGAAGUUGAAGUUGUGAUUCAAGAAUUCUUGAGGAUCCAUUGUUGAAAAGGGUUGCCAUACUCAGAAGAUGUUUUCUAUGGCCUCUACAAAGUAGAUUUUAUUUUGUGAAAACAAUUGUCAUGUUGUGAGUACAUUGCAACCAACUACGCAAGAAAAAAAAGUAUUUCAUAUUUCCUUCUUUUUGUGUUAUCAUGCAACAAGAUUACUUAAUAGUAGUUUUCUCUUAGUUCUUUAAUUUACUAGCUAUGCUUUAAGAAUGCCAUGUUUUUAAAGAAACUUGGCUUCAUAUAAUAGGAGCUGCAACAUCUCUAUUGUAAAACAUCAACAACAUGAGCAUCAACUGAUGCAAAUUACUUCAGUAACUACAAUCGAGCGAGGCAUGAAUAGCCUUUGGGGUGGACAUCAUUGACUCAUGGCUUUGAGUGCAUCUAUGAUUCCAAAAAAUCUAAGAAUACAUCUCAUGCUGUACAAUGGCAGUGUAUAUUAAGUAUUCCUACAAGCUGAGCAGCAUAUCCGUAAUUUUCUCCUAAUCUUGAAUAAUUUCAAAUUUAGGCUAAUAGAAAGACACUCAUUGCACAUGCCACCAAUAAUUUCAGAAUUGAAAGGUCCAUACAAAGGAAACAAUUGACCAUGGUACCAAUUCCAUGAUAUAACACUAAGUCCAUCUCUAUUUUGUACUUGUAGAUCCAAAUUCAGAGCUAGUUUGGAAGCCAAUUAUUUGUAUAUUGAAGUUUAUACCUAGCUUGAAUCCUAACCAAGUAUAAUCAACAAAAAAAUAAAAGAUAAACACCUAAGGGGGAUCCAAAAGAUGGUGUCAAUAAAAGCUUACUAAGUUCUUAUGAAAAAGAACCUAGCUUGAAAUUGAGUACUUGGUCUAAAAAGGCUAAAGAAAUUGAUGUCGCUUUGUAAUGAAUUUAGGAACUAUUUUUCUAAGUCAUUGUGUCAAGGUUAGCUUUCAUCAUCUUUUUUAAUGCUUCAUCAUGCAUAUAUUCAUAGAUUAUAUGUUGCAAAAGACUGAAAACAUAAAUAUCAUGUAAAGAUGGACAAUGUGGACGAAUUUAAUCCUACAUGCUUAGAAACAAAACAAAUCUUCACUAACCUUUAAAAUCCAAUUUUUGAGAUUCUGAUUUACUUAAAUCUUAAUUAAUUUUUUUUUAGUAUAUUUUUUAAUUGAAUUCAAAUUUACAAUACACAUUUAGCACAUAUAUCUUCACAAACCUACAAAAAAUUACUUAUAGAUUUGUUACAAAACUUACACAAUUCACCAAAAUAAUAAUCUCUUUUUUAUUCAAUAUAUAAUAAAUUUAGUUAAAAUAAUCUAAACUUUCUAAAUUUGUUACAAAGUCAAUAUGAACUUAAUUUCUCAAAACUAAUGUUUAAAGUUUUUUAAAGUUUUUUAAAGUUUUUUUUUUAAAGUUUUGUCUUAAAUAUUGUUUUUUAAUCAACAAACAAAUCCCACACUUGUUGUAGGUGUGUGGUGUUGUACCAUAAGGACUAACUUUGACCAUAUUUCAACAUCAACCUUCUCUAAAUAUCAAUCUAGGACUUUGAUGGAAAUUUUUUUUCAAAACUUCUCUUUAUUUUUACCUAAAGAUGCUUAUUUGACUUAUUUUUUAUCCUAUAAUAUAAAUAGAAGCCAUUUUUAUCAAAAAGAAGAAUUAAUUCUAAAAUAUUUUAGAAUCUUAUUAAUUUUUAUUUAUAUAUCUAAAAUAUAUUUUUAUUAUAAGAUCUUAUAUAAUAAAAUCCUUCCAUUUAUCUUUCAUCUUAAAGUCUAUAUUACAAUAUAAAAUUAUUUCUUUAUUUGUAAUAAGUUUUGUAUAAAGAAAAAAUUAUAUAAUUUUAUUUACAUAAUUGACUAUUAUAAAGUAAGAUGUAAGAAUUUGAUAAUUGAAAUUUGUAGAAAAAAGACCAUUAAAAAAAAUCAUUGAAGGUUUUUAGAAAUACAUAGAGGUUGCAAAGUCUAUAGAAAUGAUAAUGUAGAGUCUUUAUUCAAAAAUAAGUAUUACAAUAUUGAAAAAAUUUAUUUAUCUUUUUUAUAUUUGAUGCCUCCAAGCAUCUCUAUAAAUAAUCUCUAAAGUUAAAUUGUAUUUAAAAUAUUAUGGUUCUAAAAAGUCAUGUUAUACUUGCAAUGCACAUAAUAGUACUUAAUCCUUUAGGUUAUAAAAACUUCUUUCAAAAUAAAUAAUUAUCUUUAAAAUCAUAUUUUCUAGAAUCAUUAUAAUUCUAAUUUUUUAACACCAAGAAUAAAAGAAAUUUUAAAAAAAAUUAGAUAAUUUUUAUUAAUAAAAGUUUUGCCAUCUAAAAUUCUUAUAAUAAUAGAUGAAAGAUAUAGCUACUUUGAUUUUAAAAGAACAUUUUGUUGUAAAUCAUAUGCGGCUCCUCUUUUUUUCAAUACAAGACAAGAAUGUCUAGACAAGGCAUUUUAAAAGCUCUAUUCUUUUUCAAAAAAUUACAUUAAUAUAAAUACAAAUCAUAACAAAGACAUAUUCCAACAACCUUGAUAAUAAUUUAAAAUAUAUUUUGAUAUAAAAUACUUAUAAUUUAUGUGAUUGAUUAAAUAAAAAGCUAUUUUUAAGUUAGAAUUCUAUCAUUAAAACGAAUUCAUAAAAACUAGAAUUUAUUAUUGUACUUUUUAAUCUUGGUUUUUGAAAAGUUUUAAGAAUGAAAAAAAUAGAAUUAAAUCUAUCUAUAUUCAAUUAUUAUAGAAUUAUAUUUAAUACAAAGUUAGAUAUAUUUAUCUUAAUUAAAAUAUUUGAAGAAAUUUAGACAACAUAAAAUAAAAGUUAAAAUGAAAGUUAUUUUUCAAAAUUCUUAUGAUCAUUAUAUUCAACCUGGUCCAAGAUGAAAGUAACAACAGUAUUCUAUUUUCUUUUACUCAAUCUUAUCUUUCUUGUUCCAUUCCAUUUAAUUACUUUUAGUUUUGUUCUAAUGAGUUUGGUCUUAUGUUGUGUCAAAAUCUUUGU
rnacentral:lncRNA from 1 species